GAUGAAGAACGCAGCGAAAUGCGAUAAGUAAUGUGAAUUGCAGAAUUCAGUGAACCAUCAAAUCUUUGAACGCACAUUGCGCCCGGCAGUAAUCUGCCGGGCAUGCCUGUCCGAGCGUCAUUUCUGCCCUCGAGCGAGUCCAGCAUCUAGGUGCUGGGCCCGCCCGGCGUUGGGGCACUACGGGAAGCCCUGUGCUGUCCCCCGUAGGCCCCGAAAUGAAGUGGCGGUCCUGCCGCGGCGCCCCCUGCGUAGUAUAACAGCUCGCUUCGGGACCCGGUGGAGGCCUGCCGUCAAACCUUACUCUCUAAGUUUGACCUCGGAUCAGGUAGGGUUACCCGCUGAACUUAAGCAUAUCAAUAAGCGGAGGA
rnacentral:misc_RNA from 1 species